rnacentral:rRNA from 1 species
GACGAACGCUGGCGGCGUGCCUAACACAUGCAAGUCGAGCGGGGUUGAAGCGAGGGGUAACUCGAACUUCUACCUAGCGGCGGACGGGUGAGUAACGCGUGGGCAACCUGCCUCAAGGUCUGGGAUAACAGCUCGAAAGGGCUGCUAAUACCGGAUAUGCCUAUAGCCUCGCAUGGGGCUAUGAGCAAAGGGGAAACCCGCCUUGAGAUGGGCCCGCGUCCCAUCAGCUAGUUGGUAAGGUAAUGGCUUACCAAGGCGAUGACGGGUAGGGGACCUGAGAGGGUGGCCCCCCACAAUGGAACUGAAACACGGUCCAUACACCUACGGGUGGCAGCAGUAGGGAAUAUUGCAAAUGGGCAAAGCCUGAUGUAGCAACGCCGCGUGUGCGAUGAAGGUCUUCGGAUUGUAAAGCAACUUUUUGGAGGGAUGAGGAAGGACAGUACCUCCAGAAUAAGCCUCGGCUAACUACGUGCCAGCACGCCGCGGUAAGCUAGUCUACG